rnacentral:rRNA from 1 species
GAUGAACGCUGGCGGCGUGCCUAAUACAUGCAAGUCGAGCGAACGGACGAGAAGCUUGCUUUUCUGAUGUUAGCGGCGGACGGGUGAUUAACACGUGGAUAACCUACCUAUAAGACUGGGAUAACUUCGGGAAACCGGAGCUAAUACCGGAUAAUAUUUUGAACCGCAUGGUUCAAAAGUGAAAGACGGUCUUGCUGUCACUUAUAGAUGGAUCCGCGCUGCAUUAGCUAGUUGGUAAGGUAACGGCUUACCAAGGCAACGAUGCAUAGCCGACCUGAGAGGGUGAUCGGCCACACUGGAACUGAGACACGGUCCAGACUCCUACGGGAGGCAGCAGUAGGGAAUCUUCCGCAAUGGGCGAAAGCCUGACGGAGCAACGCCGCGUGAGUGAUGAAGGUCUUCGGAUCGUAAAACUCUGUUAUUAGGGAAGAACAUAUGUGUAAGUAACUGUGCACAUCUUGACGGUACCCAAUCAGAAAGCCACGGCUAACUACGUG